CUCUUAGAUCGCGUCUGCUGCUUGUGUGCAGUCGUGCGGGGACGACCACAUUGACUCUUCGGGUGAUUUGUUGGGCGUCGAGCGGCGGACGGGUGAGUAAUGCCUGGGAAAUUGCCCUGAUGUGGGGGAUAACCAUUGGAAACGAUGGCUAAUACCGCAUAACGUCUACGGACCAAAGAGGGGGACCUUCGGGCCUCUCGCUUCAGGAUAUGCCCAGGUGGGAUUAGCUAGUUGGUGAGGUAAUGGCUCACCAAGGCGACGAUCCCUAGCUGGUCUGAGAGGAUGAUCAGCCACACUGGAACUGAGACACGGUCCAGACUCCUACGGGAGGCAGCAGUGGGGAAUAUUGCACAAUGGGCGCAAGCCUGAUGCAGCCAUGCCGCGUGUAUGAAGAAGGCCUUCGGGUUGUAAAGUACUUUCAGUCGUGAGGAAGGCGUUGAAGUUAAUAGCUUUAUCGUUUGACGUUAGCGACAGAAGAAGCACCGGCUAACUCCGUGCCAGCAGCCGCGGUAAUACGGAGGGUGCGAGCGUUAAUCGGAAUUACUGGGCGUAAAGCGCAUGCAGGUGGUUUGUUAAGUCAGAUGUGAAAGCCCGGGGCUCAACCUCGGAACCGCAUUUGAAACUGGCAGGCUAGAGUACUGUAGAGGGGGGUAGAAUUUCAGGUG
rnacentral:rRNA from 1 species